rnacentral:rRNA from 1 species
GAGUUUGAUCCUGGCUCAGAUUGAACGCUGGCGGCAUGCCUUACACAUGCAAGUCGAACGGCAGCAUGAUCUAGCUUGCUAGAUUGAUGGCGAGUGGCGAACGGGUGAGUAAUACAUCGGAACGUGCCCUGUAGUGGGGGAUAACUAGUCGAAAGAUUAGCUAAUACCGCAUACGACCUGAGGGUGAAAGUGGGGGACCGCAAGGCCUCAUGCUAUAGGAGCGGCCGAUGUCUGAUUAGCUAGUUGGUGGGUAAAGGCCCACCAAGGCGACGAUCAGUAGCUGGUCUGAGAGGACGAUCAGCCACACUGGGACUGAGACACGGCCCAGACUCCUACGGGAGGCAGCAGUGGGGAAUUUGGACAAUGGGCGAAAGCCUGAUCCAGCAAUGCCGCGUGUGUGAAGAAGGCCUCGG